UACGUAGGGCGCAAGCGUUGUCCGAAGUUACUGGGCGUAAAGCGCGUGUAGGCGGGUCUUUAAGUGAGGGGUGAAAGGUUCGGGCUUAACCCGGACACUGCCUUUCAUACUGGAGACCUUGAGUGCGGGAGAGGCGAGUGGAAUGGUCGGUGUAGCGGUGAAAUGCGUAGAUAUCGAUCGGAACACCCAUGGCGAAGGCAGCUCGCUGGCCUGUAACUGACGCUGAGACGCGAAAGCGUGGGGAGCAAACAGG
rnacentral:rRNA from 1 species